GAUAGAUGUACUAGAAAUCCUACAACUAAGAUUUGAGUCAACUUGGUCGACCGUGUCACUGGAUUACUCUCUUCUCUUGGAAUUCCUCAAUGGGAAGGGAUAUAAACCGGAAUCGUUGUGUGCAGUGUGGAUUUGGAACCAAUCAAUUGUUCCUUCUGUACUCACCCGGGAACAUGCAUCUUGUGAAAUGCGACAACUGCAAAUCCGUUGCGGACGAAUACAUUGAGUGCGAAAUCAUGAUUGUUCUUAUCGAUUUAAUACUGUUCAAGCGCCAGGCUUACACACAUCUGCUCUACAACCUAAUUGAUACAGAUUGCUUGUCUCGUCAGGAUUUAGCGUGGAAGUUUGGACUUAGUUUUCUUCUUUUGGAUGCUUACAGGUACAUGCUUCUGAGACUAAGUGAGAAACAAUCAUACAUGACCUUUUCAUCAACAAUUGGGAUCUGUCAAAAGAUUUUGAUGGAUAUUUGUGUCGGAAAUAUUAUGUUUAUUUGUGCGCUUCAUAUUUUGUCAAGAGUAUUUCUGAGGAGCUCAGCCGGGGUCCAUAAGUACAGGUACAAACACUUUUUCUUUGCCAUCAUUAUUUCAAGUUACUUCAAGAUCUUUCUUGUUUGCAUGAUGAUCUGGGAAUUUCCAUCUCCAGUGAUCUUCAUUAUAGAUUUAUUUGUUUUAUCAUCCAAUGUAAUAGCAAUUAAAGUGAUCACGGAGUCAGCUGUGAGUAGAUGCGUUGGAACUUGCUUGUGUGCUCAUGGAGCCAAGUUUCUGGCCACAAAGCUUUUUGAGAAAUGAAGUUUAAAGAUGGACACAGGCACAAGAAUUUGGGGUUAUGUGAGCCAGAUUGAUGAAAACUAUUUUCAGAAUUGGAUCGGAUAUUUUAAGGAGUCCAUAACUUUGGUAGUGGAUGUGGUGGCUUUGAAAGGAGGUAUGUUUUUAUACUAGUGACAUUUUGUUAAUUGUAAAGACGUAAUUGUUAUAAAUUUACUUACUAGAACUCCCUUUCUAAAAUGGUUAUAACUGAUGAUGUUGGAUUGGCGCUCAAUUCAUCCGUAUUUCUCAGAAAUGAGAUAAGAUGAUAUGAACAAGACAAGAUUGAUCUGAUAUACUGCUUCAUGAGCUUGUUUUUCUUUUUCUUUUGUUUCUUCUUCUAAGAAUUGGGAAAUUAAAGAAGAGAGUUUUAAGGUCGAAUCAAUUAAAGAUUAAGAUUUAAAUGAGGGGGAAGGGUGUGGAGUAGAGUGAAGAGGGGUAGGAGAGAUUUGUGUGAGGUGAAGUUGUGAGAGUGAAAAGGGUAAGAGAAGGCCAUCCAAGAAAACAAGACAACUGGUUUUAUACACUGAUACAAUUGUGCAGUCUCUCUGAGUAACUUUUGCACAUCUUGGACUAACAAGACUCUUGUCUAAAACUACUGCCCUCAUUAUUUUUUCCUAAACCAACUUCAAACCAACUACUCGUCGCAGUUCAUUCCCGGCAUUUGUGUAUAGAAUCCACUUAUGACAGUGAAGGGAAACAUUGUUUUGUUUUCUACAAGCCCACCUGCGGACAUCAAAUAUUAGAUCGGCCCAACCGUCAAAGAGAUGUGGAAGUUUCCUUUUAAGAAGCCCUUCCAGAAUGUAGAUGGAGUGAAGACAGGUGGAGGAAACAGUGAACCCUAAAUGAUAUGAAUAAAAAGGGGGAAAAGACAAAUUUAUGGGUUGAAUUAGGGUGGUUGGAGUAAACCAAAGGCUGAUUAGUCUAUUUAUUGAGAAAAAGAGAAGAAAGGGAGGAGCUUUUUGAGACACGGUGGAGCCCACCAAAGGUGUGGUGCCUCACUCUAUCAUUAUGGGAUCUUAGAAUUUGAUGGAAAGAUGCAAUUAUUGCUGCAUCGAAUUCCAAACAAAAAUAAAUUCCAAUUCC